AGAGAAACAACCAAAAGAAGCCAUCAGAGGGGUGAUUACCAAGAAGAAUCAGAAUCUCUUAUGCAUUCAAAAGCCGGAAUAAUUCAUUGCCAACCAACCCACGCUGUAAGAAAAAUUAAAGGAAGUCCUUCAGGCAGAAGAAAAAUGCUACCAGAUGGAAAUAUGGAUCGACGCAAAGGAAUGAAGAACACAGGAAAUGAUAACUACACUAAAUAUAUAAGAUCUGUACCACAAGAAAUGCUAAAGGAAGAAAGAAAGGGAGAAAGAAAACACCAUGAGAUGGAAGCCUGAGUUGCUGGAAAAGAGACUUGAAAAGG